GCCUCUUGGCCCUCCAUGGCACCAGUUUGACACCCCUGGUUUACAGAGAUCUCAGGCCCAGCUAAAAGAGUGGCUGGCAGCAGAGUGGCCCACUGAAAGCAUCUCAGGUCUUAUAAACCUGAGGUCAACAUUUCGAAACUGUCCUCUGCUUGCAGCAAGGUUUGACCCAAAUGUCUGUCUUCCCAGGUGCAAAGAGAAGAUGCGGUUUCAGAGGCGCCUCUCUGGACUGAAGAACAGACUCAAAGGCUCAUACAAAUGUCAUCCUGUCUGAAACAGCACUAAAGACUCAUUACACUC
rnacentral:lncRNA from 1 species